AACUUUAUAGUUUAAAAAAAAACAAUAAUUUUGUAAAUUAUAAAUUAAUAUAUUAUAAAGUUA
rnacentral:tRNA from 1 species